rnacentral:lncRNA from 1 species
GGGAAAGUGAGAGUCUUCCUUGAUUGGGAGUUUGGAAGAAAAGUAAGGCAUUAUUUUAAUCCUCUUAUUCUUUCCUUUUUGAAAGGGAACCUGACUGCAGAGAGAACGUAUUGUUGAUUACUGUCAGCCCUGCAGAAGUUUACACACAGAAGCCUUGCCUGGUGGUGGAGGGCAGAGUGACCCAGCACUGCCUUGCAGGGGACCAGGCCCUGGGCCUCCUGAAGGUUCACUGAAAAAUCAACUCACAAAAGGCUGAUUAAGAGGAUAAAAGAUACCUAACUCAUAGAAAUGACCUGUAAUCAUGGCCUGGGUUAGGAACAAGGAUUUGGAGGAAGAAAGUGCCUUCAAAUCACCCUGCAAAUAGUGUUGUCUACUCAGCCACAGGAAGACAAGCCCUGGGGAUGCAUUCAGCAGGCAGCAGGUCCCGCGGGUUCUACAGCUUCAAAUUACUUGGAGCAAAUGAGGCUUUUCAGCUUUGCUUGCUCAAUGCCAAGCUCCACACUUUAGAAGGGGAUCCUUGUAUACCUGACUCACCACCCGAAGGAAAUGUCUUCAGAGAUGUUCACUGCCCCAGAGAAAGAGUCUCUCUCUGUUACCCAGGCUGGAGUGCAGUGAUGCAAUCAUAGCUCACUGCAACCUCAACUUCUUGGGUUCAAGUGAUCCUCCAGCUUCAGUCUUCUGAGUAGCUGAGAUUAUAGGUACUCACCACCCCACCUGGCUAAUUUUUAAAAAUUUUUUGCACGACAGAAUCUCGCUAUCUUGCCCAGGCUGGUCUCAAACUUCUGGCCUCUAGUGAUCAUCUGCCUUGGCCUCCCAAGUGCUGGGAUUAUAGGCACGAGCCACUGUGCCCAGCCUGUAUAUAUGUUUUUAUUAUUAUUCAGGGUAAAUAUUAUUAUUAUAUUAAAUUAAAUAUUACUCAGGGUAAAUGCCUAAGUGUUGAAUUUCUGGGUCAUAGAGUAGAUACAUGUUUAACAUUAUAUAUGCUAAAUCGUUCCCUGAAGUGGUUGUAUUAUUUUUCACUUCUGACAGCAAGGUAUAGGAAGCUCAGUUGCUGCACAUCUUUGCCAGCCUGUGCUAUUCUCAGUCUUUCUGUUAUAGCUGACCUAGUGUAUGUAAAGUGGUAUUUUAUUAUUGCUUAUUUUGAAUUUCCCUGACUGCAGUGAUUUUGAGCACCUUUUCUUGUGCUUACUGGUCACUGAGUUAGCUCCUUCUCACUAGGGUCUUUUUGAGACCUUAUCUAUUUUUUUUUUCAAAACUGGGUCUUUCUUUUAAUUAUUGAUUUACAGGAAAUUUUUAAAAUAUGUUAUGAGUAAGAGUGUUUUUUUAGAUAUAUAAUGAAUAUUUUCAGGCUGUGAUUUACCUUCUUAUUGUCAUAAUGAUAUGUUUUUAAGAGAAAAAAUUUUAAUUUUGACAUAAUUCAAUUUAUGUAGUUUUUUCUUUCAUUAUUAAGGCUUCUUUUUUUCUAAGAAAUCUGGCUAAACUCAGUGUGGAAAGAUAUUCCUUUAUGUUUCUUUAUGGAAGUUUUUUUUUUUUUAAUUCAAGCUUUUACAUUCAUGGCUCUGAUCCAUCUUGAAUUAGUUGUUACACACGGAGUGAGUAGGGUACAAUGUUCAGCUUUUUCCCAACAGAGUAUUCAGUUGUUCCAAUACAUUUUGUCUAUAAGGCUCCUUUUUGUUUUUGUUCUUUCAUAAAAAUUUAAGGGGUACAAGUGCAGUUUUGCUACAUGGAUAUAUUGUGUAGUGGUGAAGUCUGGGCUUUGGUGUACCCAUCACCUGGAUGAUGUACAUUGUACCCGUUAAGUAAUUUCUAUCCCUUGCCCCUCCCACCUUCCUACCCUUCUGAAUCUCCAGUGUCUGUUAUUCUACACUGUAUGUCCCCAUGCACGCAUUAUUUAGCUCCCACUUAUAAGUGAGAACAGGAGGUAUUUGGCUUUCUGUUUCUGAGUUGUUUCAUUUAAAAUAAUGGCCUCUAGUUCCACCCAUGAUGCUGCAAAAGACAUGAUUUAAUUCUUUUUAAUGGCCGAAUAGUAUUCCAUUGUAUACAUUUAUCACAUUUUCUUUAUGUAAUCACUUAGGUUGAUUCCAUGACUUUGCUGUUGUGAAUAGAGCUGUGAUAAACAUGUGAGUGCAGGUAUUUUUUUUUACAUAAUUUCUUUUCCUUUGGGUGGAUACUCGGAAGUGGAAUUGCUGGAUCAAAUGGAGGUUGCAGUUUUAGUUCUUUGAGAAAUCUCUAUACCAUUUUUCAGAGAGGUUGUACUAAUUUACAUUCCCACCAACAGUGUAUAAGCAUUCCCUGUUCUCUGCAUCCUCACUGAUAUCCAUUGUUUUUUGACUUCUUAGUAGUAACCAUUCUAACUGGUGUAAGAUGAUAUCUCAUUAUGAUUUUGAUUCACAUUUCCCUGAUGAUUAGUGAUGUUGAAUAUUUUUUUUCAUAUGCCUGUUAACUGUUUGCAUGGAAAAGACUCCUUGGCAACUUGGACAUAAAAUAAUUAUUGGUUAAUUUGCAGGUCUAUGUCUAGACCCUGCUCUUUUUCAUUGAUUUAUUUGGUUUGUCCUUAUACAAAUACUACAUUUCCUUGAUUGCUGUAGUUUUGUAGUAAAUCUUGUUUAAGGUCACUAAAAUAGGCCUAUCUCUUCUUUCCAACCUAUAUGGCUUUUUUUUUCUUGCCUUAUUAUCCUACCUAUGACUAUCAGCAUAAUGUUGAAUAAAAGCUAUGAGAGUUGGUGUCAUUACUGUUUUCUGGUUUCAUGUAAAAUAUAUCCAAUAUUUCACCAUAAGUUAUGAUGUUAACUAUUGGUUUUUCAUAGAUAUUAUGAUAGAUUAAAGAAGUUGCUUUUAUUCCUAGUUUUCUGAGAGUUUUAAAAAAUCAUGAAUAGGUAUCAAGUUUUGUCAUGUGCCUUUUCUGUAUCUAUCAAGUUACUCGUAAGAUUUUUUAUUCAGUUAAUGUAGUAAAAUAUGCUGAUUUGGAAUGUAAGUAAGCCUUACAUUCUUGAAUUAAGUGUCAUGCAAAUGAUAUGUUAUCCUUUUUAUGUAAGGCUGGAUGUGAUUUACUAAUUUUUGUUAAAGACUUAUACAUCUAUGCUCAUGACAGAUAUGGUCUAUAAUUUACCUCUUUGAUGUCUCAAGUUUGGAGUCAGGGUAUUGCUAGACUCAUAAAAUAAAUUGGUACAGAUUGACCUAAAUGGAACUCUGAAAAAUACUCACUAUAUAAUCUAAUUGCCAAGUCCAACCCCCAUUAUCAAAUUAAUGAGCAAAACGCAGAAUAAUUUUUGUCAGAAAAAUAUUCCUUUAUUUUUCAAUUCAAAUAAACAUUAUUGAUAUGCACUCCUUUGAUAACCGUCUUCUAAAUUAUAAUUCUAAGAUAGAUAGGUAAAUAAAUAGAUUUAGAUGAAGACACACACCUUUGUUGCUAUAAAAGUGACACACCCUUGCCUUCAAUAUUCCUUAUAGAUAUUUUCUUUGCUUUGCCCUCAAAGACUCAUCCUCAAUAGCAAUACAGUCUUUGACAAGACCAAAAGAGGGAAGACAUAAGGACACACGCAAAUAAAAGUUGUUAAAAUUCUGCUAUUCCAUUCAAUAAUAUAGCUGUACUCCAAGCAUUGACAACAUUUUAAACCUAAACCCGUCAUUUCUAAUACCACGAUUUGCUCUGAACAGAAAUAUGCAUAAUGUGUGGAAAGUCUAGAAGUCCAACCGGGAUGAUUCAACUUUAAAUAAAGAAGGCUACUGAGGCUAUUCAUACCA